rnacentral:rRNA from 1 species
GACGAACGCUGGCGGCGUGCUUAACACAUGCAAGUCGAACGGUAAGGCCCUUCGGGGUACACGAGUGGCAAACGGGUGAGUAACACGUGGGUGAUCUGCCCUGCACUUCGGGAUAAGCCUGGGAAACUGGGUCUAAUACCGGAUAGGACUCCUGGCUUCAUGGUUGGGGGUGGAAAGCUUUUGCGGUGUGGGAUGGGCCCGCGGCCUAUCAGCUUGUUGGUGGGGUAAUGGCCUACCAAGGCGACGACGGGUAGCCGGCCUGAGAGGGUGACCGGUCACACUGGGACUGGGAUACGGCCCAGACUCCUACGGGAGGCAGCAGUGGGGAAUAUUGCACAAUGGGCGCAAGCCUGAUGCAGCGACGCCGCGUGAGGGAUGACGGCCUUCGGGUUGUAAACCUCUUUCAGCACCGACGAAGCGCAAGUGACGGUAGGUGCAGAAGAAGGACCGGCCAACUACGUGCCAGCCGCCGCGGUAA